CCUACGGGCGGCAGCAGUGGGGAAUUUUGGACAAUGGGCGCAAGCCUGAUCCAGCCAUGCCGCGUGCAGGAUGAAGGCCUUCGGGUUGUAAACUGCUUUUGUACGGAACGAAAAGGCUCUGGUUAAUACCUGGGGCUCAUGACGGUACCGUAAGAAUAAGCACCGGCUAACUACGUGCCAGCAGCCGCGGUAAUACGUAGGGUGCAAGCGUUAAUCGGAAUUACUGGGCGUAAAGCGUGCGCAGGCGGUUAUAUAAGACAGAGGUGAAAUCCCCGGGCUCAACCUGGGAACUGCCUUUGUGACUGUAUAGCUAGAGUACGGCAGAGGGGGAUGGAAUUCCGCGUGUAGCAGUGAAAUGCGUAGAUAUGCGGAGGAACACCGAUGGCGAAGGCAAUCCCCUGGGCCUGUACUGACGCUCAUGCACGAAAGCGUGGGGAGCAAACAGGAUUAGAUACCCCAGUAGUC
rnacentral:rRNA from 1 species